UAAACGACUCUCGGCAACGGGUAUCUCGGCUCUCGCAUCGAUGAAGAACGUAGCGAAAUGCGAUACCUGGUGUGAAUUGCAGAAUCCCGUGAACCAUCGAGUCUUUGAACGCAAGUUGCGCCCGAAGCCGUCAGGCCGAGGGCACGUCUGCCUGGGCGUCACAC
rnacentral:rRNA from 1 species